rnacentral:rRNA from 1 species
AUACGUAGGGGGCGAGCGUUGUCCGGAAUGAUUGGGCGUAAAGGGCGCGUAGGCGGCCUGGUAAGUCUGGAGUGAAAGUCCUGUUUUUAAGAUGGGAAUUGCUUUGGAUACUGUCGGGCUUGAGUGCAGGAGAGGUAAGAGGGAUUCCCAGUGUAGCGGUGAAAUGCGUAGAGAUUGGGAGGAACACCAGUGGCGAAGGCGACUUACUGGACUGUAACUGACGCUGAGGCGCGAAAGUGUGGGGAGCAAACAGGAUUAGAUACCCUGGUAGUCCACACUGUAAACGAUGAAUGCUAGGUGUAGGGGGUAUCGACCCCUUCUGUGCCGCAGUCAACACAAUAAGCAUUCCGCCUGGGGAGUACGGCCGCAAGGUUGAAACUCAAAGGAAUUGACGGGG